rnacentral:rRNA from 1 species
GUUCCAGCCGCCGCGGUAAUACGGAGGGUGCAAGCGUUAUCCGGAUUCACUGGGUUUAAAGGGUGUGUAGGCGGGCUAUUAAGUCAGUGGUGAAAUCUCCGGGCUCAACCCGGAAACUGCCAUUGAUACUAUUAGUCUUGAAUCUUGUUGAGGUAGGCGGAAUAUAUCAUGUAGCGGUGAAAUGCAUAGAUAUGAUAUAGAACACCGAUUGCGAAGGCAGCUUACUAAACAAGCAUUGACGCUGAGGCACGAAAGCGUGGGGAUCAAACAGGAUUAGAAACCCCCGUAGUCC